ACUAAGGAUCAAAGGUUAAAGGGCACAAGGCUGUUCCAGAUCGGCGUGGGCAGCAGAGGCGUGUGGCCGCGGGGUCUCCCCGACUUCCCGUGAAAUCCCUCAGUCAGAUGAGAAAACUGAGACCCAAAAGUUAGGCUUACAAACGUCAGGCAGGAAAACCCAGGGCAAGAAGCAGACGGAAUUCUGGGCCACCACGUUCCAGCCCGAUGCACCGACAGGGGGGGAUCCGAAAUGUCUCACGUUCUUGUCUUCCACUGAGAGAGUUGAUAACCACUCCCAGAAAACCUCUUCUGAGCGGUGCAUGGCUCCCCUCUGCAGAUACGCCAUCUACCUAGAC